ACGUUGAAGACGACGACGUUGAUAGGCCGGGUGUGUAAGCGCAGCGAUGCGUUGAGCUAACCGGUACUAAUGAACCGUGAGGCUUAACCUUACAACGCCAAAGAAGU
rnacentral:rRNA from 1 species